AGCUCCUUCCUUCAACUGUUUCUCUAUAAGCGUACGGUAGGCUGCAGGGUCAUUUUCAGAGAGAUCAUCCAGCAUGGACCACAGUUUGCUCAUCUGCUGCAAAACAUCCUCUGUACUGCCAGUGGAGCACAUGUUAAGAUCCAUCCCAAGAAUUUGGCCACUUUGGUGUAAACUCCAGGAUGAUUGGGCUCAGCACACCCUGUUCCCCAGCUGACGACCCCCACCAGCCUCCAUACGUUGUCAUCCUGGCAAACCAGAGGGCCCCCACUGUCCCCCUGGAGAGAGUUGCUGUGCGUUGCUGCUGUUGCUGAGUGAAAUUCAAUUGGCAUAAAGAAUUACUGAUGGACAUCGCACCAGUGUCACACCAGGCUUCAGGCUAAAGAGUUAUUUAUCAUUAACUAAGAAUACGUAUACAAGAUUGCCAAGUUCCAGCACAAUAACAGGGUUUGUCUUUAAUUGUUGUAUAGUUGUACCUACUGGCAUGCAACUUGCACAGAAUUAUACUAACAUAUGUCUUGUCUGUCUUAAACCUGUAAUCAUUUAUCUAUUAAACAUUGAUUACAUAACAAACACCAAUUAAGUCCAAUAAAAAUGUAGUCAAUAUAAUUUUAAUUUAUUCAAAUGUAUUUUUCUGACAUCUUUUUGUGUCCAUUGCUGACAGGGUGGAGGUCCUGGGGGGCAGCUGAACUCUGACUUUUUUGUGUGCAAAAAGGUCCAAAUUUUUCCAGAUAGAUGACAAAAAUAAAAUAUUCUGCAUCAAAUGAGACCACUGACUUUAUGCAUUAGCAUCACUUAUAGGCUACCUGAUAUGUAAUGAAAACUAGAUGUCAUUUGUUUAUUUUACAACUUAAACUAUUGAGUUCUGCCACAGUACCCAUAUAUCAUUUUUCCAAUUUCUCAAAAUAGAACUAUAGACUGAUUUCAGUGACCUAAAAAUAUUCUAGUGUUUGAUCCAGGGUUACUAAGUGGAGCCAAAUCAUCAGCUAUGAGCUACGAGAGAAGUAAACAAUUAAUCCUGUAUUUCUGGCAACAAGCAGUCUAAAUUUCAGGAAAAGUGUCUCUCACAAGUUCCCAAAGUAUAAGGUAAAGUCAAAUAUCUUCCCUAAACAACAGUCCAAAACUCUGAAUUUCAGUUUACUGUCACAGAAAUCUCAAAAGACAUUCAAAUGUGAUGAGCUGGAACACUGAACGUAGCUGCUGAUUUGUUUUGUCUCAGAUAUUUGAUUAAUCAACAAACUACUGAAGCUCUAAAGUUUAAUGCACUUACAAACAGGUAACGAGAAAGAUGUGCACAGUGGUUAGCAUUCAGGAUUAGAUAAAGUCAGUUAAUGUUAAGCUGUUCAAGCCUCAGGUUAAAUAUGAUUUAAAAAAACAUAGAAAAUAUAUACCAGCAAGCCUGCUGCAAGGAGGAGUAUUUUGUGGGAUGGCUGGAAGAUACUGACUAUGUUUAUUACACUUGAUUUAUAGCAACACAUCCUAUAAGUAAGGAGGUAACAUCCCUCAGGUGACAGGCUAUCAAUACUAUGUAAGUGAAGCUAACAGUAAACACUGCUGACUGUUAUUUAAACAAUAAAUACAUUCUCAUUCUCUACGUUUACAUUUAUCUUGCUCAGGCAAAUGUCUAGAUGACUGAUUAAUGUGUUACACGACUGCAGAAGCAAACUAUGUGCUGUUUUAUUUGCUGAAUUCUUUAGUUCAAGUUAGGAAUCAGGAAUCUGUCAGGAAUCUGCAACAGAA